GCGGGUAUAGUUUANUGGUAAAA
rnacentral:tRNA from 1 species